ACUCCAAGUGAUGUGGGCAGCAUCUCAAAAGAUCUUUAAAUCUCUCCAUGCAUUCACAUAUGCCAUCAUCAAACCGCAUAAAAAAAGAUAUGUCAUUUCUAAGUUU